rnacentral:tRNA from 1 species
GUGAGUGUAGCUCAACUGGUUAGAGCAGCGGACUGUGGAUCCGCAGGUUGGGGGUUCAAGUCCCCUCACUCACCCCA